AGUUCAGUCCCAGAGUAUAUGUUACAAGAUCAAUUUUCCAGUAUGAAUUUCAGUAGUGCUUGUUUGGGAGAAAUUAUAAGUUGCUGAAAUUAUAGAUUGAUAGAAUUGAGUGGUGGAUAAGUGGGUAGUAAUUAUAAGUCCUAUGAAAUGUGUGGUUAAAAUUGAGGUUUAAUUCUGACCUUUAAAUUAUCAUGGAAUUAUAUUUAAAAAAAAAAAAAAAGCACUAGGUCAUCAAAAUAUAGAUAGAGCUGUUUACUAUUCCUCCUGCUAUCUUCUAUAUUUAGGUUUGUGGCUCUGAGAAGCUUUUGUUAGUUAACAUUCUUUAUGUGCCAUUUAUAUGAGCUUAUUCACUAUUGUGAUAAGAGUUAUAUCUCUUUUUAGUUUCGAGAAGUCCCCAAGACAUGAUUCCUAUGUUCUGAAGUUCGAAGCAGAACUUGCUCACUUCUGUGAGAAGUUGGUUUCAGAUUUAGAUAGAAGAGUUAGACGUGGCCGAGAACGGCUUGCUCAAGAGGUCGAAGUUCCCCCUCCCCCUCCUCUCUCAGCCAAAAAAUCUGAGCAAUUGUCUGUUCUGGAAGAAAAGAUAAAGAACCUGCUGGAACAAGUUGAGUCUCUUGGUGAAGCAGGGAAGGUUGAUGAAGCGGAGGUACUGAUGAGAAAGGUGGAUGCACUUAAUGCUGAGAAGACAGCCUUGACUCAGCAACCACAGCAGGAUAAAUUAUUGAUGAUUGCACAGGAGAAAAAAAUGGCUUUAUGUGAAAUAUGUGGUUCAUUUUUAGUGGCAAAUGAUGCUGCAGAGAGAACUCAGUCUCAUGUUACCGGCAAGCAGCACAUGGGUUAUGGCAUGGUCCGUGACUUUCUCAUUGAAUACAAGGCAGCUAAAGAGAAGGUAAAGGAAGAAGAAAGAUUAGCCAGGGAGAAAGAAGCUGAAGAACGGAGAAAGCUGAGGGAAAGAGAAUACAACAGCAGACAUAGAAGUGACUCAUCAGACAGGGACAGGUAUCAUGAUAGAGAUUAUGACAGGAAGAGGGACAGAUCUCGAGAUAAGUCUCAUGAGAGAAAUGGCAGAGUAAUUCGUGAUGGUGGGAGAGGAUCAGACUGGAAUUACAGCAAUUUGAGGAAUGGAAGAAAAGGAAGUAGGGAAGGAUACCAUGAACGUGAUAAAAGCAGGUCACGUUCUCCUGUCAGGCAUCGCCACAGGAGGUCUUCGGGGAGUCCUAUUCACCCAUAUUAGAGGAUUAUCCUGAUAAUUGUCGGAACUUUGAAUUCCAAAGAGCUCUAUUGAGAUUGUACCAUCUCCCUAUCAAUUAGAGAAAAGGUCGAGAUUCUAUAUGUUUUCAUUGGUAAACACUGCUGCUGAUGGAGAAUACAGGUUUUAUCCAAACUGUGAGGUAACAAAUACUUUUUUUUUGUCACCUGGAAAAUUAACAUCCUUCACUGUUUCCAAUUUGGUUCUCUCUUUGGUCAUUCAGAUGCUCAAAUGCAAAACUGGUUUCUUUUCUUUUCUCUUUGGUAAACCAGUCUAGGCAAUGCGAAUUGUUGCUUGUUAGUUGCUUAUUUGAUGAGUUAAUUGCCCAGGUGGGCAUGUUAUUGCACAGUCGUGAAGCUCUUGAGAAGAUGGGUAAACUUUCUUUACCCACUUGUUUUCUGUCCUCCUCUGCCUGGGCUUAAGUAGCUGGGUAUGCAGGUGACACAUUCGUCUGAAGUGGAAGCUAAAAAUUUACAAAAACCAGAAAUUUGCAAUAUUAAUCGUGUUCGCGAUUAACUAUUUGUUUGAAGUUUUUGUGCGCUAUACAAGAUUAGAAAUGAAAAAGCUUCUGUUUAACAACUA